rnacentral:rRNA from 1 species
GACGAACGCUGGCGGCGUGCUUAACACAUGCAAGUCGAACGAAGUGGCGAACGGGUGAGUAACGCGUAAUCAACCUGCCCUUAAGAGGGGGACAACAGGUGGAAACGACUGCUACUACCUCAUACUGAAGGUGGGGAUUGAGUCUGAUUAGGUAGUUGGAGGGGUAACGGCCCACCAAGGCGAUGAUCAGUAGCCGGUUUGAGGUGAAGAACGGCCAAAUUUGGACGGGGAAACGGCCCAGACUACUAGGGGAGGCAGCAGUGGGGAAUCUUCCGAAAUGGACGAAAGGCUGGCUGCGCAACUCCGCGUGAGUGAUGACGGGCUUCGGGUUGUAAAGCUAUGUUAAUCGGGACGCGGUACCGGAAGAGAAAGCCACGGCUAACUACGUGCCAGCAGCCGCGGUAAUUC